rnacentral:rRNA from 1 species
GACGAACGCUGGCGGCGUGCUUCAUACAUGCAAGUCGAACGAGAAGUUACCUUCGGGUAAUGGAAAGUGGCGGACGGGUGAGUAAAAUGUAGAGAAUCUGCCCUAGAGAGGGGGACAACAGAGGGAAACUGGGAUUAAUACCUGAUGGUCUCGCAAGAGUAAAGUAGCAAUACGCUCAGGGAGGGGCUCGCGGCCUAUUAGUUAGUUGGCGGGGUAACGGCCCACCAAGGCGAUGACGGGUAGCCGGUCUGAGAGGAUGUCCGGCCACACUGGAACUGAGACACGGUCCAGACACCUACGGGUGGCAGCAGUCGAGAAUCAUUCACAAUGGGGGGCAACCCUGAUGGGUGCGACGCCGCGUGGGGGAGGAAGGUCUUCGGAUUGUAAACCCCUGUCAUGCAGGAGCAAGACGCAAGUUUGAUAGUACUGCAAGAGGAAGAGACGGCAAACUCUGUGCCAGCAGCCGCGGU